CUGGAAAUUAAUGAAACACAACAUUUUGUCAGAGAAAGUGGCUCAGUGGUUUAAUAUCAACAAACAUCACAAGGUAUAAAGUGCAAGAAACCCAAUCUGCCCAGCUGCUGCCAUGCCCUUUGAAAAUGGCUGAUCUCUCCACUCCACACCUGUUCUGAGUGUCAACCUUCAGGGGAUGGGACAUGUUUUUGACACCAUAAGAAAUCACAAGACCCACUAAAUGCCUCCUUGCAAUGAGCUUUCACAUACAUAAUAACCAGGAUGAGACGACAAGUACUAGUAUUCCUUCAAACUUAAAAAAAUAGCUUGGUUUGAAUAACAAAUUAUAAAAUGAACCUAAAAUAGAACAAAUGAAAAAUAACCUCAAGGACAAAAAUCAAACAAAUACACUUGGAGAGUGGAUGUGAAUAAUGAGGUGUCACAUGAACACGAGGAGAUUCUUCCAGCACAAAUAUCAUUUCUUACUUGACAGUCCCUGUCUUCAGGAUCACAGUCAAUAAUUAAGAUAGAUCAGCCCCUGGUCAGCCAGGAAAGCACAGCAACAUUUUUGUAGAUUCAGUAAUGGAGAGAGCAAUUGACCAGGGAAGUGAAGCACAUUUGUAAAAGAAGUUGCUGGCCAAAGUUUGUCAAACAUUAUUUACAAAUUGAUACCAGAGAAUGACUAUUGCACCAUGGCGCUAGAUACUCUAGCCUAUUUAGACGGCUCAAGCCAUCAUCUUCCUAUGAUGCAAGAUACCUAAAGUGGAAUAAAAAUGGAAGAAACUUUUGAGAACAUUCUGCUUGCUAAACAAACCACAAACUUAUAGUAGUAUAUAUUGAAGGAAGUUAUAUUAUGAAUAUAACUCUGCCUAUCAUCGUAAGUCAGAACAAAAUUUGAGGCAAUAUAACUAGAUAGUAUUAAUAAUAAGGCAUAGAUGUAAAGAUUUCACUAGACUCAAGAUAAGUGAAAAAUGGGUUAUUAUUGAAGAACAACUUACACAGAUAAAUAUAAAGAACAGCAGAGCACUUCUCUGCCCUUCCUAUCGGAUGAGCUGACCAAAGAGAAAGAAGCACAAAAAUAAGCCAUGACUCAACUUCCCUCUUUUCACUUCCAUCUGCCUGAAGCCACGCCCAAAGGGGUGUGGCCGUUGAUAUACAACAAUCGAAAUUAAAAGAUCCUACUAAAGUAUCAAAAUAGAUAAUGUUAUAAACAACCUAAGAGUCUUACUGUGGCAUGAAGAGAGAAAGAUAUUUGAAGGCCAAAGGACUUUCAUGCCAUCUCAUUUUGGCCUUUGCAAGGAUUAUAGGUGAAUGUGUGGUAAGACUGAAUGGUAGCCGAUUGCUUUUCCUAUGUGUAUGCCUAAUGGCUAUUUGUCUUGUAGUGUUGUACAAAGGCUGCUAUAAUUAUUGAGGGCUAAAGAAUAUGCUGAUAUGUUAGUCAAUGUCUGCCAUAACUAGCUAAAAGACUUUAGAGCCUCCACUGAUUUCAACAACUUUAUCUGUACAAGGGAUGGAGGAACCGUUUUCAAAACUCAUUUUUUUCUUCGUUGAUUUCAAAAACAGCAUUAGCAUCAUCUUCAUCAUCAUCAUUCUAAAGUUGAUCUGUUCUUGAAGAUACACAGCCUAUGCUAUUGAAAUUUUAGGCACCAUUGAUUUUUUUUUAAAUUCAUUUAUUUUUAUAUUUUUGGGUGUUUUGUCUACAUGAAUGUCUGUGCACAAAACAUGUGCUUGAU
ensembl:lncRNA